ensembl:lncRNA
GUGUGUGUGUGUGUGUGUGUGGUGUACUUCCAGCAGGACCCACACAGGAGCAGAGGACCAGUAUAAGGUGUAAAUAUCACUUCUAUAUUUCAUAUUCCUUCAUCCAACUACAUCCACUGGAACACAACAUGUGAGACAGUAAGGCAUCAGACAGGUGUGGUGUGUGUGUGUGUGUGUGUCCUCAGACAGGUGAUCACUUUACAUCCUCAGACAGACAGACAGGUGACAUCAUCAUCCUCAGACAGACAGGUGAUCACUUUACAUCCUCAGACAGACAGGUGAUCACUUUACAUCCUCAGACAGACAGACAGGUGAUCACUUUACAUCCUCAGACAGACAGGUGAACACUUUACAUCCUCAGACAGGUGAUCACUUUACAUCCUCAGACAGACAGACAGGUGAUCACUUUACAUCCUCAGACAGACAGACAGGUGAUCACUUUACAUCCUCACACAGACAGGUGAACACUUUACAUCCUCAGACAGGUGAUCACUUUACAUCCUCAGACAGACAGACUGGUGAUCACUUUACAUCCUCAGACAGACAGGUGAUCACUUUACAUCCUCAGACAGACAGGUGAUCACUUUACAUCCUCAGACAGACAGGUGAUCACUUUACAUCCUCAGACAGACAGACAGGUGAACACUUUACAUCCUCAGACAGACAGACAGGUGAUCACUUUACAUCCUCAGACCGGCGCUGUCUUACCCGUCUCACCCAGC